CGUACCGCUACAGCCUGUUAGAGGGUAUAUAAACUGAGGUUUGAGUCCAGCGCGCGCAUAACGGUCGUCCCUGCUGAGAGGAUCUCCAGAUAGCGAGUGAGUUUUCCUGAGUGUCCUGAUUCUUUACACCUCUUAUAGUGAAAUCCAGACGACGCUCUUCAGGAAAAUCUCCACAGACUCCUGCUGCUACUGGCUCAAAGUGACUCCACCUGGGUGGUCAGGCCAGAGUUCUCCACCUCCAGCUGAGAAAUGGUCUCCAAAGCCUUCUGAUGUUCCUUCUCAACUUCAGACAGGGUGACCUAAACAAGUACAACAUUUAAGGCUUAUUGGCUUUAUUUAUUUCUACACACACUCUCAGAUACUUUUAGAAACCGAUUCAUUACUACACACACACACAAAAUACAACAAAAGUCAUACUUUCAUGAGAAGGAAAGUUUACCUUCAGUAUCUCCUCUGCGGUUAUCAGAUGCUUCUUCAUCUCAUCCUUCUUCACCGGAACCUCCUAAACACACACACGGGGCAAAAGAUGUUCAAACUCGAGUGCUUAAUGUUCAUUUCUGUUAAUUAAUCAAAUCUAACUUAAAUUCUAUUUUAAUU